rnacentral:rRNA from 1 species
ACGAACGCUGGCGGCAGGCUUAACACAUGCAAGUCGAGCGCCCCGCAAGGGGAGCGGCAGACGGGUGAGUAACGCGUGGGAAUCUACCUAUCUCUACGGAACAACCCAGGGAAACUUGGACUAAUACCGUAUACGCCCUUCGGGGGAAAGAUUUAUCGGAGAUGGAUGAGCCCGCGUUGGAUUAGCUAGUUGGUGGGGUAAAGGCCUACCAAGGCGACGAUCCAUAGCUGGUCUGAGAGGAUGAUCAGCCACACUGGGACUGAGACACGGCCCAGACUCCUACGGGAGGCAGCAGUGGGGAAUAUUGGACAAUGGGCGAAAGCCUGAUCCAGCCAUGCCGCGUGAGUGAUGAAGGCCCUAGGGUUGUAAAGCUCUUUCAACGGUGAAGAUAAUGACGGUAACCGUAGAAGAAGCCCCGGCUAACUUCGU